rnacentral:rRNA from 1 species
UACGUAGGGUGCAAGCGUUAAUCGGAAUUACUGGGCGUAAAGCGUGCGCAGGCGGUUUUGUAAGUCUGACGUGAAAUCCCCGGGCUCAACCUGGGAAUUGCGUUGGAGACUGCAAGGCUGAGAAUCUGGCAGAGGGGGGUAGAAUUCCACGUGUAGCAGUGAAAUGCGUAGAGAUGUGGAGGCAACACCGAUGGCGCAAGGCAGCCCCCUGGGUCAAGAUUGACGCUGCAAUGACACGAAAGCGUGGGGAGCAAACGAGGAU